AACGCGAAGAACCUUACCUACUUUUGAAUCCUAAGAAUUUUGCAGAAAUGUAGAAGUGCCGCAAGGAACUUAGAGACAGGUGCUGCAUGGCUGUCGUCAGCUCGUGUCGUGAGAUGUUGGGUUAAGUCCCGUAACGAGCGCAACCCUAAUUCUUAGUUACCAACAGGUAAAGCUGGGGACUCUAAGGAGACUGCCGGUGAAUAAACCGGAGGAAGGUUAGGACGACGUCAAGUCAUCAUCGGCCCUUACGAGUAGGGCUACACACGUGCUACAAUGGGCACUACAGAGGGAAGCGAAGCGGCGACGUUGAGCGAACCCCCGAAAGGUGCUCGUAGUCCGGAUUGGAGUCUGCAACUCGACUCCAUGAAGCUGGAAUCGCUAGUAAUCGUGAAUCAGCACGUCACGGUGAAUACGUUCCCGGGCCUUGUACACACCGACUGUAC
rnacentral:rRNA from 1 species